UGACCAGCAACUCGUAUCCCUAUCACCCCGUGGUACUAGCCGGGCUGCGAGCAACAUUGCCCCUUAUGGAAGAUCGGGUAACCAAUCCCGGUGGAAGCUCCGGUCGUAUGUUGACAGGGAAGG
rnacentral:ribozyme from 1 species